rnacentral:lncRNA from 1 species
AGUUAUUUCAUGCUAACAUUGGACAUUUCUUUUUCCUUUAGAUGGUGUUUGUGGCUUGUUGACACUAAGGGGAAAACAAAAGAAGAAACAAAACAUAAAAACAAGAGCAUCACACAGGCGAACCUUGAGAAAUUCAUGCUUUAUAGGUCAUGGUGUCCCUAAAGAAAUUAAAACCACUUCUAACUUUCCACCAAGUUCAGGCAUAGUUAAGAUUCAUUGAUGAUUUCAUAAUGGAUUCACUAAUCAAAUUCCCUUUAAACAUCACUCCUACCUCAAUAGUACAACUAGCUGCCCUGUCCAUUCAUUAAUUGAACCAAGAUCGACAAAAGAACUUCACAUUUUACAUGUCAAUAAGAACUUUUACAUUUCACAUUUUACAUUUUACAUGUCAAUAAGAACUUUCAAUGAGUCAGAUCAUUCAAAUUUCACAAUUCACAAUUUAUUAACCAAACAGAAUAUAUCCAAUGGGGGAGGGGGAGCAUUCAUGCUAUGCGACUUUGAUGUAUAGCUUUGUACCUAGAACUUGAAAUCCUUCUUCUUUGCCUUCCCUUCUUUUUUCCUACAUCUUGC